GAAUUUCAGAGGUGUUUAGCUACUGCAGUUUUUACUGACCAUGACUGAUACCUAGGGCUCGGCACAUCUGACACGUAAAGCUUAGCUGGCUCACCUGAGGUAUUCUGAGUCCUCUCUAAAAAUUCGGUCAUGAUCUUAGUGUCUGAGCUUGCAAUACAAAAUCAAUUGUGAUGGUGAUAUCUACCCAACACUGGUGCCCUGAUAAGAAAUGCAGAUAACAUUAAAGCUUUGCAUUGAAUAUGCGUUAAGUGUAAAGUAUUGAUUUCUUAUUUACAGGUGUUUUUUUUUUUUUGUUUGUUUGUUUGUUUGUUUUGUUUUGUUUUGUUUUGUUUUGUUUUGUUUUUUUUCCAAAGAAAGACAGCCUACUUAAAGACAGAACUUCAUUUGGUAAAGUAUCUUGAUGAUGUCCUGUUACAGUUAUUAAUAACAUUGCAAAUGGCACAGGGGAGAAAAAAGGAUGGGAAGCCAAAUGUCAUUAAUAAUAGCUGCAAUAUUCUUAGUGUUAACAAAUUAUCAGCUGUAUAAAUUUUUAAUUAAUAGGAGUAUGAACAGCAAUUUGACUGUCAACAGGCAUCAGUAUUGAUGUGUGCGAGUGAAGCAUGGCAAGGCAAAGAUCAAAGGGGGAGGAUAACAGAAACCACGCAGCUGUGAAUGACAAGUCAGCGUUUUCUGAACAAACUUCUGAGAGCAUCACGACUUCAAGUGCAGGCCUCUGUAAUGAGAAGAAAGAUGAGUCUAGGUGAAGGAGUCCACAUUUUUUGUGGUAUUCAGAUGGCUCAUCUGGUUUGGAGGAAGAAGCUCACCAGAAACAUGUUGUUUAGACCAUGUUAAAACAGUUUUUGAAGUCUCAAAGACUUGGAAACUUUAAGCUUUGAAAUUCACAGGGGAUACUGCCUUUACAUGGGGACUGGGGGUGUUGAAGAGGAC
rnacentral:lncRNA from 1 species